GACNUAAGCAUAUCAAUAAGCGGAGGAAAAGAAACCAACAGGGAUUGCCUCAGUAACGGCGAGUGAAGCGGCAACAGCUCAAAUUUGAAAUCUGACCCCUUCGGGGCCCGAGUUGUAAUUUGUAGAGGAUGCUUCGGGUGCGGUGCCGGUCUAAGUUCCUUGGAACAGGACGUCAUAGAGGGUGAGAAUCCCGUAUGCGACCGGCGGCCAACCCCGUGUGAAGCCCCUUCGACGAGUCGAGUUGUUUGGGAAUGCAGCUCAAAAUGGGUGGUAAAUUUCAUCUAAAGCUAAAUAUCGGCCAGAGACCGAUAGCGCACAAGUAGAGUGAUCGAAAGAUGAAAAGCACUUUGGAAAGAGAGUCAAACAGUACGUGAAAUUGUUGAAAGGGAAGCGCUUGCAACCAGACCUGCCCGCGGGCGAUCAGCCGUUAUUCUUAGCGGUGCACUCGUCCGCGAUCAGGCCAGCAUCGGUUCGGGCGGCCGGAUAAAGGCCUCGGGAAUGUAGCUCCCCCCGGGGAGUCUUAUAGCCCGGGGUGCAAUGCGGCCAGCCCGGACCGAGGACCGCGCUUCGGCUAGGAUGCUGGCGUAAUGGUUGUAAGCGACCCGUCUUGAAACACGGACC
rnacentral:rRNA from 1 species